rnacentral:rRNA from 1 species
UACGAAGGGGGCUAGCGUUGCUCGGAAUUACUGGGCGUAAAGCGCACGUAGGCGGUUUCUUAAGUCGGGGGGUGAAAUCCUGGAGCUCAACUCCAGAACUGCCUUCGAUACUGAGAGACUUGAGUCCGGGAGAGGUGAGUGGAACUGCGAGUGUAGAGGGUGAAAUUCGUAGAUAUUCGCAAGAACACCAGUGGCGAAGGCGGCUCACUGGCCCGGUACUGACGCUGAGGUGCGAAAG